AAAACUAAUUAAUAUAACGGCAUGUUUCCUUCCCUUUUGUAGUAACUAACAUCUUGACAAAUAAAGAGGAUAAACUGAUUUUGGUUCUUGUCAUGGAAGAUAAAAAGUCAGUAUCAUGAGCAUACUAUUUCAUGUCCCUCCAAAAGCACCACAGAAUAGUUAUCACUUUUGUGAAGGGGAGUAGCUGAUUUCAACAGACUGUGAGGUGCAUUAUGCUGAAUACAAAUAAGAGGACAACUUACUGAUUAACACAAGAGGCAUCCAUCUGAAAGAAACUGGGAUCCAUAAAGAGGUCAAAAGCUUCUUUUUUCCAAGCUCUCCGUGUGUACUGAUACCCACUAAGACUGCUGAGCAGCUGGACACAAGCUCGAUAACUAGGGGCAUUAUGUGCACUACAAGGAAGAAAAACCACCUUAACCUAUGUGUCCUAACUUUAAUCAUCCUAUCAAGUUAUACAUAAAUGUUCACAUUUACCUAAGACAGUGACAGGAAGAUAUGAAAUAGAAAGCACCAUAAGAAAAAUAAUAUAUGAAUUUUUUAAACAGUUAUAAUUCAAGGUAAAAAUGCCAUUUUAUGAUAAUUCUAGAAAUGGCAAUAAGGGAACAGAACUUGUUUCUAACAGGCUAUGAAUUAAUUUAAAAAACUAUUUAAAUAAUGAUAGUACCUGUGAUUUCUGAGGUAGGGCACAACAUAAUGCAUAAUAUUUACAAGUAAAGGAAUAACCCGCUCCUUUUCAUCACUAUAGAAAACCAUAUCCAAAAGAUGAGCCAAAACCUAUGAAAACAAAAAAUGAAGAGUAACGUACGAGGUGAAACUGACAUCAUCCCAAGAUAAUAAACCUAAAUGUUUGACAAGAAUACCUUCAACAUCAGAUUCCAAAUUGGUUCCAUCUACCAUUAUUUUGGGAGAAGGCUUAACUUCAAGAUUUCGUCGCAGCCAUGUUGUCUGUUCCAGAGAAGAACCAGCAAUUGCACCAAUUGCAUCCACUAUUUUGUGAGUUACAUCCUAAAAAAAUAAGGAAGAACAACUAUGUAUGGUACACACAUGCACACUAGUUAUGAACUUCUGUAGUUUAUAUUUCUGAUAAUAGAUAUUUUACAAUAGACAUUGUUGAUUCCCAUAGAAUGUUCAGAGUUGAAAGAAACUUCAGUUUAUUUUAUUUGACUCUCUCAUUUUCAAAUUGAGGGCACUGAGAAACAGUUUUGGCAACAGCUCUUAGACUGCCUUACCUGAAGGUCUCUUUGGUCUUUUUUAUUUUCCAAACUAGGGUUUUUCAUAAUAAACUCAUUCAGAACCCUAAAAGGGCCAAAGAGAAGACAGAAACGGGAAAUAUCAGUCUAAAAGAAACUAAUGCGAUCUAAUUUCUCACGAUGAGUUAAGCGGCUUAAUGGUCUUGAUUUCCAUUUUAAAUAUUUAAUAUAUAUACAUAUCCUAUGACUCAACUGACAUUCAUAAACAUACUCAUGAAAAGACAUUGUAUAAAGAUGCUCAAAGCAGUAUUAUUUGUAAGAGCCCCAAAGUGGAAGGAACCCAGAUGUCCAGCAAGAGCAGAAAAGAUAAAUUGUGGAAUGUGGCCAGGCGUGGUGGUGCAUGCCUGUAGUUCCAGCUACCUGGUAGGCUAAGGCAGGAGAAUUGCUUGAGGCCAAGGCUGCAGUGUGCUAUGAUCAAUGCUGUGAAUAACCACUGCACUCUGGCCUGGGAAACCUGGCAAGAUCCCAUAUCAAAGAAAAAACAAAUUGCAGAAUGUUCAAAUACUAAACAACAAUGAAAAAUUACAGAUAUGUGAAUUACAUAAAUGAAUCUCAUAAACAUAUGUUGAACAAAAGAAGCCGACACAAAAUAUUUAUAUAUACUUAUAGUUCAAAAACAAGGCAAAAUCCAUCUGUGGUGUUAGAAUAGUGGUUACAUUUGGGGAGAUAAAAGAAUAGUAAUUGGGAGAGGUGUGGAGGGACACAUGGUGUUUUAUUUCUUAAUUUGGGUUUGUAAUGAUAUAGUGGUAUGUUGACUUUUUACAAACUUUGCAUUUGUAGAGUUGUGUACUAAUUAUUUGUGUAUUUUUCUAUGUGCGUUUUAUAUAUAAACAGAAAAGUUUAAAAAAUCUUAAAUUGUAACACAGAAAUGAUUUCUUCCCAUAACACAUUAAAAAUAGUUCAUGAAGAAAAAAA